GGGUGUGUCGAGGGGAUUUGAUUCAUUCAGAUUUCCAAUUCCUCCUUUCUUUCUAACAUCCUCUCCCUAUUGUCCAAUUAGUCUCUUCUUUUUUUUGUUAGAAUAAAUUCAAAAAUAGUAAGGAUAAAUUUAAUUUUAUGACAAGAGCCUAGGAAGAGAAUCAAAGAAGACAAGGAGAGAAGAAAGAUAGGGAUAGGAAGGCUAGGA
rnacentral:lncRNA from 1 species